ACUCCUACGGGAGGCAGCAGUGGGAAGGUCUUGGACAAUGGGGGCAACCCUGAUCCAGCCAUGCCGCGUGAGUGAUGAAGGCCUUAAGGGUCGUAAAGCUCUUUCGCCUGUGAUGAUAAUGACAGUAGCAGGUAAAGAAACCCCGGCUAACUCCGUGCCAGCAGCCGCGGUAAUACGGAGGGGGUUAGCGUUGUUCGGAAUUACUGGGGCGUAAAGCGCGCGUAGGCGGACCAGAAAGUUGGGGGUGAAAUCCCGGGGGCUCAACCCCGGAACUGCCUCCAAAACUCCUGGUCUUGAGUUCGAGAGAGGUGAGUGGAAUUCCGAGUGUAGAGGUGAAAUUCGUAGAUAUUCGGAGGAACACCAGUGGCGAAGGCGGCUCACUGGCUCGAUACUGACGCUGAGGUGCGAAAGUGUGGGGAGCAAACAGGAUUAGAUACCCUGGUAGGAUAGCG
rnacentral:rRNA from 1 species